GCUGGCGUAGCUCAACGGUAGAGCAGCUGAUUUGUAAUCAGCAGGUUGGGGGUUCGAGUCCCUCCGCCAGCUCCA
rnacentral:tRNA from 1 species